rnacentral:rRNA from 1 species
CACGUAGGGUGCGAGCGUUGUCCGGAAUUAUUGGGCGUAAAGAGCUCGUAGGCGGUCUGUUGCGUCGGCUGUGAGAACCCGGGGCUCAACUCCGGGCCUGCAGCCGAUACGGGCAGACUAGAGUUCGGCAGGGGAGACUGGAAUUCCUGGUGUAGCGGUGAAAUGCGCAGAUAUCAGGAGGAACACCGGUGGCGAAGGCGGAUCUCUGGGCCAUAACUGACGCUGAGGAGCGAAAGCAUGGGGAGCGAACAGG